rnacentral:rRNA from 1 species
ACAUCUCAGUUCGGAUUGUAGUCUGCAACUCGACUACAUGAAGCUGGAAAUCGCUAGUAAUCGCGAAUCAGAAUGUCGCGGUGAAUACGUUCCCGGGUCUUGUACACACCGCCCGUCACACCAUGGGAGUUGGGAAUGCCCGAAGCCGGUGACCUAACCGCAAGGAAGGAGCCGUCGAAGGCAGGCUUGAUAACUGGGGUGAAGUCGUAACAAGGUACC